GCCCGUCUGGCUGGAACUGGUAGACGCAGCGCACUCAAAAUGCGCCGCCCUCACGGGCGUGCGGGUUCGAGUCCCGCGAUGGGCA
rnacentral:tRNA from 1 species